rnacentral:rRNA from 1 species
UACGUAGGGGGCAAGCGUUGUCCGGAAUUAUUGGGCGUAAAGAGCGUGUAGGCGGUCCGGUAAGUCAGCUGUGAAAGUCAAGGGCUCAACCCUUGAAAGCCGGUUGAUACUGGCGGGCUCGAGGACGGGAGGGGUAAGUGGAACUCCAGGUGGAACGGUGAAAUGUGUAGAUAUCUGGAGGAACACCGGUGGCGAAAGCGGCUUACUGGCCCGUAUCUGACGCUGAGGCGCGAAAGCUAGGGGAGCAAACGGG